GCCAGGUGUGGUGGCUCGCGCCUGUAAUCCCAGCUACUUGGGAGGCUGAGGCAGGAGAAUCGCUUGAGCCUGGGAGGCAGAGGUUGCAGUGAGCUGAGAUCGUACCACUGCACUCCAGCCUGGGCAACAGAGUGAGACUCUGUCUCAA
rnacentral:sRNA from 1 species